GGCAAGGUGCCGGAGUGGUUAACGGGUUCGCCUCGAAUCUUUCAUUCGACGCCGAUGACGGCGGUCAGCGAAUGGGCUCUGCCCGCACAGGUUCGAAUCCUGUUCUUGUCG
rnacentral:tRNA from 1 species